UACAUUCUCCAGUUCUGCUUUGUGGCUUCUCAGUCACAAACACACCUGACCAAGACAACAAUAACUGCUUUAUAUUUGAGGAAGGAAAAAUGGAGAGAGUAAUACUAAUAUUUUCUCACAGCUGUUGUAUAUAACCAUGCUUCAUACUAUUCUUGCAUCCACACACACACACACACACACACACACACACAAAAAAAAAAAAAAAAAAAAGCAGAAGCCUCUUGCAGUCUCUCAGUGACAGAGAUGAGAAUACUCCCAGGCCACUGAGAAGACCAUCCAUCUUGGCCAUGAACGUGAUUGAUAGGUAGAAUAAUGACAGCAGGAGGACCACUGAGAGAAAGGGCACGUGGAGAGCAGUCUGCAUGAAAACAUGAUAGCUUGCUUGGAGUUCCUGUUGAAUUGUCUGUUAUUGUAAUACCUACCUGGAUUUCCCAACUUGGAGGGACGCUGCUGGGAAGGUGUGCGAUGAUUUUGAGCUAACAGUGCCAUCUAGUGAUGCAAGGGGCACACGGGACUCUGAGCCACAUGGCAGAGCUGCAGUCGUCGGGGGCUUCACAGGGAAGUAAUCACCUAGCAUAAUAUUCAGUAAUGCCCCUGUGGUGCUAGAGUUGCCUGUCGCAGAAUCCACACACGCUCCUGAAACAUCCCUGGAGGAUACAAAUGACCACCUGAGGACUUCUUUAAGCCCGAAGCAUGCAAUGACAAUGCUUGUUGUGAUUUAUUUUAAUGAGAAGUGCUAUCCUGGGAUGACAAAGGACAGUCUUUAUUCAGUGAGUCCUGAGACUGUAUGUGCUGAAAGAUGGAGAAGGAAAGAAAGAAAAUAUGCAGAAUAAAAGAUCACCAAGAGCAAAUGGUGUUCUGGAAGAAAGCUGUUGAUACAGAGAAAUUGAACCAAAUCACAUGUAACAAAAAAUAAAUUGGCAUAAAUUCUGCCUAUAUUAAAUCCCAGGGGGAUUUUUUUUUUCCCAUUUAUUUUAAUGGAACUAGCAUUUCAGAGCAUACUCUGCUGAUGCUGUAAUCACCAAAGAAAUUUCACAGCUAGUGGAAUAUAAUUAAACAGAGUAAAGCAUCACCAGUUAACUAAGACCAUGUGAGAGGACUCUGCAAAGACAGACCUGCAAGCUUCUUUUAGAAGGAAGAGACAGAGCAUAGAGAACAGAGACAGCAGGGUAGAAACCUGCAUCUAGAAGAAGGUGUGAGCAGUAAUGAGGUGAUGGUAAAAAUUCAGCACAUCCCUCACUGAGCUACAAUUCUGUAGGUGGACUGGAAGCUUCUCAGAAUUAGCAAG
rnacentral:lncRNA from 1 species